GCCAGGUACAGUGGCGUACCUGUGGUCCCAGCUACUCAGGAGGCUGAGUUGGGAGGAUCGCUUGAGCCCAGGAGGUCAGUGCUGCAGUGAGCGAUGAUCUGUUGCCACUGCACUCCAGCCUGGGCAACAGAGCAAGACCCCAUCUCUG
rnacentral:SRP_RNA from 1 species